rnacentral:rRNA from 1 species
UACGGAGGGGGCUAGCGUUGUUCGGAAUUACUGGGCGUAAAGCGCACGUAGGCGGCUUGGUAAGUUAGAGGUGAAAGCCCAGGGCUUAACUCUGGAAUUGCCUUUAAGACUGCAUCGCUAGAAUCGUGGAGAGGUGAGUGGAAUUCCGAGUGUAGAGGUGAAAUUCGUAGAUAUUCGGAAGAACACCAGUGGCGAAGGCGACUCACUGGACACGUAUUGACGCUGAGGUGCGAAAGCGUGGGGAGCAAACAGG